rnacentral:rRNA from 1 species
AAGGAAUAUUGGUCAAUGGACGCAAGUCUGAACCAGCCAUGCCGCGUGAAGGAUGAAGGCCCUCUGGGUUGUAAACUUCUUUUAUCUGGGACGAAAAAAGGGGAUUCUUCCUCACUUGACGGUACCUCGCGACGAAGCCACGGCUAACUACGUGCCAGCAGCCGCGGUAAUACGUAGGUGGCAAGCGUUGUCCGGAUUUACUGGGCGUAAAGCGCGCGCAGGCGGGCUGGUCAGUCUGGGGUGAAAUCUCACGGCUCAACCGUGAGAGGUCCCUGGAUACUGCUAGCCUUGAGGGGCUCAGAGGAGAGUGGAAUUCCGGGUGUAGUGGUGGAAUGCGUAGAUAUCCGGAGGAACACCAGUGGCGAAAGCGGCUCUCUGGGGGCAACCUGACGCUGAGGCGCGAAAGCGUGGGGAGCGAA